CACGAGUUUGAUCAUGGCUCAGAUUGAACGCUGGCGGCAUGCCUUACACAUGCAAGUCGAACGGCAGCACGGGAGCAAUCCUGGUGGCGAGUGGCGAACGGGUGAGUAAUAUAUCGGAACGUGCCCGGUCGUGGGGGAUAACGUAGCGAAAGCUACGCUAAUACCGCAUACGAUCUACGGAUGAAAGCGGGGGAUCGCAAGACCUCGCGCGAUUGGAGCGGCCGAUAUCAGAUUAGGUAGUUGGUGAGGUAAAGGCUCACCAAGCCGACGAUCUGUAGCUGGUCUGAGAGGACGACCAGCCACACUGGGACUGAGACACGGCCCAGACUCCUACGGGAGGCAGCAGUGGGGAAUAUUGGACAAUGGGCGAAAGCCUGAUCCAGCAAUGCCGCGUGAGUGAUGAAGGCCUUAGGGUUGUAAAGCUCUUUUACCCGGGAUGAUAAUGACAGUACCGGGAGAAUAAGCUCCGGCUAACUCCGUG
rnacentral:rRNA from 1 species